rnacentral:tRNA from 1 species
UUCCAUUUAGCUCAGUCGGUAGAGCAUGAGACUCUUAAUCUCAGGGUCAUGGGUUUAUGCCCCAUGUUGGGCA